GUGCUUGCUUUGGCAGCACGUAUACUAAAACUGAAAUGAUACAGAGAAAGUUUGCAUGGCCCCUACACAAAGAUGACAUGCAGAUUCGUGAAGCAUUCCAUAUAUCU